rnacentral:rRNA from 1 species
UACGGGGGGAGCAAGCGUUGUUCGGAUUUACUGGGCGUAAAGGGCGCGUAGGCGGCGUGACAAGUCACUUGUGAAAUCUCCGGGCUUAACCCGGAGCGGCCAAGUGAUACUGUCGUGCUAGAGUGCGGAAGGGGCUACUGGAAUUCUCGGUGUAGCGGUGAAAUGCGUAGAUAUCGAGAGGAACACCUGCGGCGAAGGCGGGUAGCUGGGCCGACACUGACGCUGAGGCGCGAAAGCAUGGGGAGCGAACAGG